UACGGAGGGGGCUAGCGUUGUUCGGAAUUACUGGGCGUAAAGCGCACGUAGGCGGCUUUGUAAGUUAGAGGUGAAAGCCUGGAGCUUAACUCCAGAACUGCCGUUAAGACUGCAUCGCUUGAAUCCGGGAGAGGUGAGUGGAAUUCCGGGUGUAGAGGUGAAAUUCGUAGAUAUUCGGAAGAACACCAGUGGCGAAGGCGGCUCACUGGACCGGUAUUGACGCUGAGGUGCGAAAGCGUGGGGAGCAAACAGG
rnacentral:rRNA from 1 species